AUGGGAAAAACAUCGUCCAUUCCUGCUGACAAAACCAGAGAGAGAAAAAUGCAGUUACCUGAUGAAAUAGCAGAAGAUUCGAUUGAUAGCGAGAGGACAGUAAGCAAUGAUUUUGUGGGGAUCGCAUACUGUGGCAGCCAAGCCGAAGAUGACGACCUGGAAGCAGAUUUUGCUAUGGAAUUAGCUGCUAUCGGACGGAAGCAAGCAAGAUCUGAUGGGCAUGGUUAUACCGAUGGCCAUGAGAUUGAUUCUCUCUCCCAUGCUGGGAGGGUUGUUGUCAGCCCAGAAUCUUUACCAGUAGCACAACCCGGAGACUAUGUAGAUAUACCUCUCCCUAAGUGGCUAAAGGAUAUAGAUUCAGGAGCAGGAAUGUCGACAGCUGUUAAACAAUUUCGAAAAGAUGAGAAGCAGUAUGACAAGAUCAGUAGAUCGGAUGACGGCGGCAUUAUUGUGUCGUUUCCCUCUUGUGGCGUCAUUCUUGGAGGUGUACACGGGCUCGAGGGACCAGUGGAUGGAAUAAUUGGUGGAGCGGUGAUUCAUCCUGCACAUUAA
rnacentral:rRNA from 1 species